CUUUGGGUGUGACUGCGUACCUUUUGUAUAAUGGGUCAGCGACUUAUAUUCUGUAGCAAGGUUAACCGAAUAGGGGAGCCGGAGGGAAACCGAGUCUUAACCGGGCGUUAAGUUGCAGGGUAUAGACCCGAAACCCGGUGAUCUAGCCAUGGGCAGGUUGAAGGUUGGGUAACACUAACUGGAGGACCGAACCGACUAAUGUUGAAAAAUUAGCGGAUGACCUGUGGCUGGGGGUGAAAGGCCAAUCAAACCGGGAGAUAGCUGGUUCUCCCCGAAAGCUAUUUAGGUAGCGCCUCGUGAAUUCAUCUCCGGGGGUAGAGCACUGUUUCGGCUAGGGGGCCAUCCCGGCUUACCAACCCGAUGCAAACUGCGAAUACCGGAGAAUGUUAUCACGGGAGACACACGGCGGGUGCUAACGUCCGUCGUGAAGAGGGAAACAACCCAGACCGCCAGCUAAGGUCCCAAAGUCAUGGUUAAGUGGGAAACGAUGUGGGAAGGCCCAGACAGCCAGGAUGUUGGCUUAGAAGCAGCCAUCAUUUAAAGAAAGCGUAAUAGCUCACUGGUCGAGUCGGCCUGCGCGGAAGAUGUAACGGGGCUAAACCAUGCACCGAAGCUGCGGCAGCGACA
rnacentral:rRNA from 1 species